rnacentral:rRNA from 1 species
UACGGGGGGGGCAAGCGUUGUUCGGAAUUACUGGGCGUAAAGAGCGUGUAGGCGGCCAGGUAGGUCUGCUGUGAAAACUCGAGGCUCAACCUCGAGACGUCGGCGGAAACCAUCUGGCUAGAGUCCGGAAGAGGAGAGUGGAAUUCCUGGUGUAGCGGUGAAAUGCGCAGAUAUCAGGAAGAACACCCGUGGCGAAGGCGGCUCUCUGGGACGGUACUGACGCUGAGAAGCGAAAGCAUGGGGAGCGAACAGG